rnacentral:rRNA from 1 species
AGAGUUUGAUCAUGGCUCAGAACGAACGCUGGCGGCAUGCCUAACACAUGCAAGUCGAACGAGACCUUCGGGUCUAGUGGCGCACGGGUGCGUAACGCGUGGGGAUCUGCCCUUUGCUUCGGAAUAACAGUCAGAAAUGACUGCUAAUACCGGAUGAUGUCGUAAGACCAAAGAUUUAUCGGCAAAGGAUGAACCCGCGUAGGAUUAGCUAGUUGGUGGGGUAAAGGCCUACCAAGGCGACGAUCCUUAGCUGGUCUGAGAGGAUGAUCAGCCACACUGGGACUGAGACACGGCCCAGACUCCUACGGGAGGCAGCAGUGGGGAAUAUUGGACAAUGGGCGAAAGCCUGAUCCAGCAAUGCCGCGUGAGUGAUGAAGGCCUUCGGGUUGUAAAGCUCUUUUACCAGGGAUGAUAAUGACAGUACCUGGAGAAUAAGCUCCGGCUAACUCCGUG